UGAAACUACACAAAGGAGAGAGGACCAAUCCAGUUUGGAAAGUAGUUCAGUCCCCGCAACAACCUACAAACGUGAAUGUGGGUUUUAUGUAAUGCGGUAUAUGACAGACCUCAUUAGAGAUUAAAGCAUCCUAAGAAAACAAAAUUUCAAUGGAAAAAAAGACUUACACGGAAACCGAACUUGAUGAAGUGCGAGUUGAAUGGAUUAAUUUCGUACUAAAGAAUAUGAGUUGAAAUCCAAUGGGAUGAAGAGUCAGUGUGAUGAGAAAAUGUUCAAUUUUGUCUUUUGUAAGUCUCUACAAAAAUA